rnacentral:rRNA from 1 species
GGCUCAGGAUGAACGCUAGCGGCAGGCUUAACACAUGCAAGUCGAGGGGCAGCGAGAGAGUAGCAAUACUUUGUCGGCGACCGGCGGACGGGUGCGUAACGCGUAUGCAACCUACCUUAUACAGGGGGGAUAACCUUUCGAAAGGGAGACUAAUACCGCAUAACAUUACUUGAGGCAUCUUGAGGUAAUUAAAUCUUCGGAGGUAUAAGAUGGGCAUGCGUAGCAUUAGCUAGAUGGUGCGGUAACGGCGUACCAUGGCGACGAUGCUUAGGGGUUCUGAGAGGAAGGUCCCCCACACUGGUACUGAGAUACGGACCAGACUCCUACGGGAGGCGGCAGUGAGGAAUAUUGGUCAAUGGUCGGAAGACUGAACCAGCCAUGCCGCGUGCAGGAAGAAUGUCUUAUGGAUUGUAAACUGCUUUUGUAUGGGGCUAAUAAUAACUUUGCGAAGUUAGAUGCAGGUACCAUACGAAUAAGGAUCGGCUAACUCCGUG